CGUACUGUGAAGCAUCCUGUUAAGUCAGGCAACGAGCGAGACCCACGCCAACAGUUGCCAGCUCGUCUCCGGGAUGGUGGGGACACUGUUGGGACCGCCUCUGCUAAAGAGGAGGAGGAAUGGGCAACGGUAGGUCAGCAUGCCCCGAAUUAUCUGGGCUACACGCGGGCUACAAUGGGUGGGACAAUGGGUAUCGACACCGAAAGGUGAAGGCAAUCUCCUAAACCCAUCCGUAGUUCGGAUUGUGGGCUGCAACUCGCCCACAUGAAGCUGGAAUCUGUAGUAAUCGUGUCUCAAAAUGGCACGGUGAAUAUGUCCCUGCUCCUU
rnacentral:rRNA from 1 species